GGUUUCCUGGUGUAAUGGUUAUCACUGCAGGUUUUGAUCCUGCCAAUCUGGGUUCGAUUCCCAGGGAGACCU